AUUGAACGCUGGCGGCAUGCUUUACACAUGCAAGUCGAACGGCAGCGCGGGCUUCGGCCUGGCGGCGAGUGGCGAACGGGUGAGUAAUGCAACGGAACGUGCCCAGUAGUGGGGGAUAGCCCGGCGAAAGCCGGAUUAAUACCACAUACGACCUGAGGGUGAAAGCGGGGGACCGAAAGGCCUCGCGCUAUUGGAGCUGCCGAUGUCGGAUUAGCCCGGUGGUGGGGUAAAGGCUUACCAAGGCGACGAUCCGUAGCUGGUCUGAGAGGACGACCAGCCACCCUGGGCCUGAGACACGGCCCAGCCUCCUACGGGAGGCAGCAGUGGGGAAUUUUGGACAAUGGGGGCAACCCUGAUCCAGCCAUGCCGCGUGCGGGAAGAAGGCCUGCGGGUUGUAAACCGCUUUUGUUCGGGAAGAAAUCCUCUGGGCUAAUACCCCGGGGGGAGGACGGUACCGGAAGAAUAAGCACGGGCUAGCUACGU
rnacentral:rRNA from 1 species